CCUCCCCCGUUAUUCCCUCAGCAGCAACAUCCGAGUCUCAGUGGACUUCUGAGCAUCUUUCAGUGGGCCAGCAUUGAAAAUGUAAUGGAGAAUAGAACAUUUGGUUGUCUGUUACCAAGGCCUCAGCAACAGCCCCAUAAAAGAGACUCCUGAUGGAACCACAGGCCUGGGCUGAACUCCAAAGCAUUGCUUAUAAUCAAAAACUUAUCUGGAGAAAGAAAAUCCAAUUAAAAACUUUCACCAUCAAACCAUUAGCAGCAGAAUACAUCCCAUCAUCAUUUAAAGAAGCACAAAAGACGAAGAUGGCUUCUUAACUUAGGACAGCAGGCCCUUCCAAUUUUUCAAAUUCAUCUCAGAUAUCCCUGGGAGCAGCAUACAUUACUUGUGGUCAGCAGCACAGACACCACCUUGGAGACGGCAUGAGUCGGUGAGCUUUUCCUGCUUUGGUGCCCUUCCCCAGCACGGCUAACACAGAUGAGAAACGCUUAAAAAAUGAGAGUGUGUGCAGAACUGCUGACCCUACAAGCAACACUCCUCUUCACUUGUGAAGACUGCAGCAGUGGACUCUUAUCGUGUUGCUUUUUCAGAUGUUACUUCACCACUGAUAACUAUAGCAAGUACUAAAAACAAUUCACCUUUAAUAAAUCAUUUCCAGCAAUGUCAGAGUUGGUAAUACCUUACAUGUCUGUUCUGGGACAAAAAGCAGCAUUUUCAGUAUCAUACUGAAGUUAAUUAAAAGUUUACCAAUUCAAGAGCUCUGCAUCUUUAAAAUUCAAGAAUUAAACGAUCUUUUGUCAAAGAAGGAAAUUAAUGAAUAAUUCUAGAGAAUUUUAGAGAAGAUGUAGAUAUUAUCUAGUCUGAUAACCUACAACUUUUAGAGGUAUGAGAAGAAUGUGGCUGGGAAGGUGACUCCAAAUGCACUGCAUAACUGAUUAGUAUGGAUCAGAGAGAACUGCUUCGUGACAUCUAGAUGGCAUAAGCUCAUUUCACUAUCCUGCUACUGCUAUCUAGAAAUCCAUGGAAAUUCAGUGACACUGAAGUCCCCAACUCCAAAGGCAUGCCGCAGGAUAUUGGUGCCUUGCUCGCGCUCCAGUGCCUGCAGGAAGGCUUCUGACUAUGCUUAUUCUGAAAAAACACAUGACAUUUCUCAGAAUGAGAGUUAGCAGAAGAACUUGGAAGAUGGCAUCCAGUUAUUGUAGAGGCUUAAAUUCAAAAAAAGCAGAUAAGAACUUUGACAUUUCUUUUUC